CCCCAGAUGUUGCUGAACUACAACUCCCAUGUUUCUCUGGCUAUCUGUUUAAUUGAAAGAAUCAUGGGAGUUGUAGUUCAGCAACAUCUGGGG
rnacentral:miRNA from 1 species